GAUGAACGCUGGCGGCGUGCCUAAUACAUGCAAGUCGAGCGAACAGACGAGGAGCUUGCUCCUCUGACGUUAGCGGCGGACGGGUGAGUAACACGUGGAUAACCUACCUAUAAGACUGGGAUAACUUCGGGAAACCGGAGCUAAUACCGGAUAAUAUAUUGAACCGUAUGGUUCAAUAGUGAAAGACGGCUUUGCUGUCACUAAUAGAUGGAUCCGCGCCGCAUUAGCUAGUUGGUAAGGUAACGGCUUACCAAGGCAACGAUGCGUAGCCGACCUGAGAGGGUGAUCGGCCACACUGGAACUGGGACACGGUCCAGACUCCUACGGGAGGCAGCAGUAGGGAAUGUUCCGCAAUGGGCGAAAGCCUGACGGAGCAACGCCGCGUGAGUGAUGAAGGUCUUCGGAUCGUAAAGCUCUGUUAUUAGGGAAGAACAAAUGUGUAAGUAACUAUGCACGUCUUGACGGUACCUAAUCAGAAAGCCACGGCUAACUACGUG
rnacentral:rRNA from 1 species